CUUACUCCCUCUCAAGCUUCUUUCGAUUCAAAAGUCUCUGCUUUAGCUUCUGGGUAUCGACGAGAGUAACGUGAUUCGGAGACUCAAGUGUUUUGUCUAGAAUUUCUGUUUCGUUGGUGUGUUCUUUAAGGAACAUGGAACACGACAAUGUAGCUGCUGUGAUAAGCAACCGGCGACACAAAACAUAACAGCCAAAAAAAAAGAAGAAAAAGGAAGGAAAUUGCAGAUUUUCAUAGCUUAGAAGGAAGAAGAAUGAGAGAGUCAUUGUACAUCAUAGCAGCUCAUGCUAACCUCGUAUCUCAAGUAAAGUAUGAACCACAAGAAGGCUACCUCCCUCCUGGCCACUGCAUCAUACGACAUGAAAGUCAAUAUAUGGUCAGACAGAGAUUUCUCGCUUGUUAGAAGCUUAGCAGGACACGAGUCAAAAGUUGCCUCAUCAGAUAGCUCGUGUAUAGCAACUGUAUCACGUGACCGUACCAUCAAGCUUUGGAAAAGCAGUAGCAACGAAGAGGAAGAAGAAGGCGGAGAGACAAUUGACAUAGACUUAUAAUGGUAUCGAUUUGUAAUCUUGUUGUGGAUUAUCCAGACAUAGGAUGAUGAUACAUUGUCUUUGAAAAUUUUGCCAUGACGGUCAACAAGUUUCCCUGAGAUACUAUUUGACAACAUGUUAAGAAAAG